rnacentral:rRNA from 1 species
AUUGAACGCUGGCGGCAUGCUUUACACAUGCAAGUCGGACGAGUGGCGAACGGGUGAGUAACGCAUCGGAACGUGCCGAGUAAUGGGGGAUAACUGUCCGAAAGGACAGCUAAUACCGCAUAUUAUUCGAGCGGCCGAUGGCUGAUUAGCUGGUUGGCGGUGUAACGGCCCACCAAGGCGACGAGCAGUAGCGGGUCUGAGAGGAUGAUCGGCAACACGGGGACUGAGAAACGGCCCAGACUCUGACGGGAGGCCGGAGUGGGGAAUUUUAGACAAUGGGAGUAAGCCUGAGCCAGCCAUGCCGCGUGUCUGAAGAAGGCCUUCGGGUUGUAAAGGACUUCUGUAAGGGAAGCGGUACCUGACGAAUAAGCACCGGCUCACUACGUGCCAGCAGCCGCGGUAAUAC